GGAGAGGUGCCGGAGUGGUUGAACGGGGCGGUCUCGAAAACCGUUGUCCCGCUUGCGGGACCGAGAGUUCGAAUCUCUCCCUCUCCGCCA
rnacentral:tRNA from 1 species